rnacentral:rRNA from 1 species
UACGAAGGUGGCAAGCGUUGUUCGGAUUUACUGGGCGUACAGGGAGCGUAGGCGGUUGGUUAAGCCCUGCGUGAAAUCUCCAGGCUUAACCUGGAAAGUGCAGAGGGGACUGUUCAGCUAGAGGGUGGGAGAGGAGCGCGGAAUUCCCGGUGUAGCGGUGAAAUGCGUAGAGAUCGGGAGGAAGGCCGAUGGCGAAGGCGGCGCUCUGGAACAGAACUGACGCUGAGGCUCGAAAGCGUGGGGAGCAAACAGG